UAAAAGUUAUACUGUAUUCGAAUUGUUAUAAGUACGAAAAUAAGAUUCGAACAGCCGUUACCAUAGUAGACGUAACUUAGUUACGCGUAUAUGAGUGAAAACAAUGAAAAAAUGGUGUUGAAUAAACAAGAAAUGCAAACAACCUCUUCCAGCGCUUAUCACCAACAUUUCUCAGCAGCAGCCGCAAAUUGAGAUUUUUCAUCGUUCGACCACGACGAUUCUGUAUCUGGGUUCGACGCAAGCCAAUCAGAACCAAACGCAGAUGAUCAUAGGCUAACAACUAUCAUCACCCAGAUUCCGUAUCAGCAGAUACAGCAACGGCUCCUUCAGGCACAACAGGAAUAGUAUACAAUACAGUUCCAAGCACUGGGAGCACUACAAGUAGCAGCCGUAGCAAAAUUGAGUUGGCCACAAAUCGCUCAACAGCACUAACAGGACACAGCCGAUCAAUCGCCAACAACAACUACAAGGUGCUCGGAAGGGACUUUUUUUCUUUCGGUAAGAUUCACCUACAAAUGACUUUUCCCCAAUCGGUGUUGGAAGCGCACCAUGUUAUCAAGAUAUUUUGGAUACAUCUCUCAUAUGCGCAUUUACACGUUCUGAACAUCAAAACUUUCGAUGCCGAUGAUGUUGUGCAGGAACUUCUUCAAAAGAAAUUCGUACAACUAAUAUUGACGUUCUGUAUCAGAAAUGACGGAUUGUGUCAUAACGUACUUAUAAAGGAACACUAAGCAUGGAUUCCUGGUGCAUGGUUUCGUAAAUUUGAUCGGAACACUGCCUUCACGGUAUGCCAGAAAAAGGUGAUACUGACAGGGUAGUCUACGACCGAAAAGCAAAAAUUGUUUGAAGAGCUUCUACGAACGAGAAUUUCAUGUUGAUGGAUGUUAUUCGGACGGAAACAGACCAUUCCAUUCUCAAAGAUGAAGAAAACUCGCAGCCCUAAAAUAUCUCAUUUGGCUCCGACAGCUAAAGGAAUGCAACGAAUAUUGAAAACAUUAAAAGGUGGUAAACUAGUGUGCGAUAUGAAGAAGUUGAAAUGAAUUGAAAGAGAAGUCAGGUGAAAGAUUAGUACAUGGAUUUGCUGGUACAGCUUUCUUUU